rnacentral:tRNA from 1 species
GGUGCAGUAGCUCAGCUGGAUAGAGCAAUAGCCUUCUAAGCUAUCGGUCGCAGGUUCGAAUCCUGCCUGCAUCGCCA